AUCUCAGGAUUUCAGAUAAGCUCUUGUUUUUUUCACAGGCUCCCUGGUAAUGUAGGAUGGGCUCGAAACCCAGGCUUUGAUGUGAGUAGAACUCCACCUAGUCUUUGGACAUAAAGAUAUGCAUAUAAAUUGUUCCUGUUUUGGUUUUCUAGCAAAUUAACCGGGAGCUGAAGAACCGGUUUGGUAUGACCAGCACCUCUGAGGCUCAUCUGAAAGAGAACGAGACCUCUAAGCCCAUCUCUGACUUCAAACAGAAGAAAGUAGUAGAAGCAGUGAAGGAGGAACUACAGAGACAAGAUCCUACGCUACUGAAGGCCACGGGCAACAUUAAAAGCCCACAGAUCAAUGACUCUCAGGUGAACAACACUGUUUACUCUACCUCCCCUAAGAGGGAGACAGAGGGCAGCAGAAGGCAGUGGGAGAGUGGCACAACAAGCAACGUCCGGUAAG
rnacentral:lncRNA from 1 species